UACGAAGGGGGCUAGCGUUGCUCGGAAUUACUGGGCGUAAAGCGCACGUAGGCGGCUUCUUAAGUCGGUGGUGAAAUCCUGGAGCUCAACUCCAGAACUGCCUUCGAUACUGGGAAGCUCGAGUCCGGGAGAGGUGAGUGGAACUGCGAGUGUAGAGGUGAAAUUCGUAGAUAUUCGCAAGAGCACCAGUGGCGAAGGCGGCUCACUGGCCCGGUACUGACGCUGAGGUGCGAAAGCGUGGGGAGCAAACAGG
rnacentral:rRNA from 1 species